rnacentral:lncRNA from 1 species
AUGUACACAAACAACAAGUGUGCGGUUAAAAUUGGCAAAAAACAAACACAUUUCUUCACACAGGGUCGUGGGGUGAGACAGGGAUGCAGCUUAAGCCCCACCCUCUUCAACAUAUAUAUCAACGAAUUGGCGCGGGCACUAGAAAAGUCUGCAGCACCCGGCCUCACCCUACGAGAAUCCGAAGUUAAAUGUCUACUGUUUGCUGAUGAUCUGGUGCUUCUGCUAUCAACCAAGGAGGGCCUACAGCAGCACCUAGAUCUUCUGCAAAGAUUCUGUCAGACCUGGGCCCUGACAGUAAAUCUCAGUAAGAUCAAAAUAAUGGUGUUCCAAAAAAAGUCCAAUCGCCAGGACCACAAAUACAAAUUCCAUCUAGACACUGUUGCCCUAGAGCACACAAAAAACUAUACAUACCUUGGCCUAAACAUCAGCGGCACAGGUAACUUCCACAAAGCUGUGAACGAUCUGAGAGACAAGGCAAGAACGGCAUUCUAUGCCAUCAAAAGGAACAUCAAUUUCAACAUACCAAUUAAGAUCUGGCUAAAAAUACUUGAAACAGUCAUAGAGCCCAUUGCCCUUUACGGUUGUGAGGUCUGGGGUCCGCUCACCAACCAACACCAAAUUGAGACAGAAGUCUACAAAAAUAUCCUCCGUGUACAACGUAGAACACUAAAUAAUACAUGCAGAGCAGAAUUAGGCCGAUACCCACUAAUUAUCAAAAUCCAGAAAAGAGACGUUAAAUUCUACAACCACCUAAAAGGAAGAGAUUCCCAAACCUUCCAUAACAAAGCCAUCACCUACAGAGAGAUGAACCUGGAGAAGAGUCCCCUAAGCAAGCUGGUCCUGGGGCUCUGUUCACAAACCCAAACACACCCCACAGAGCCCCAGGACAGCAGCACAAUUAGACCCAACCAAAUCAUGAGAAAACAAAAAUAUAAUUACUUGACACAUUGGAAAGAAUUAAUGAAAAAACAGAGCAAACUAGAAGGCUAUUUGGCCCUAAACAGAGAGUACACAGCGGCAGAAUACCUGACCACUGUGACUGACCCAAACUUAAGGAAACUUUGA